rnacentral:pre_miRNA from 1 species
UUUUUAGUAUAAAUAUGUCCCAUGCAAUAUUUGGGACAUAACAUACUAAAA